UGGAUUUGCUUGGAACUUUGGAUUGAGCCUAGCAGGCAGCUCGCUGGCCAGGCAGCGAUCUCAGCUCCAGGCGAUCAAGAUCGAACGCCUCGGAGCGCUGCCUGGCCCAGGCAGCUUUACCAAGCCUCAAACCAAACAGGGACCAGAUCAAGGCCCCGAUCGCGCUCAUGGGGACAUCCGUUAUAGCAGCGACGACCUGCUCGCCCUCGCGCGGCGCGGCACCACCGUUGGCCGCGCCCUGUUCGAGCUUCCCUUCCAGUGCUUCCUCCUCCACCUCCAUGGAACCGUAGCAGAUUUCCAUGCCCCGCCGCGUCAACCCGCCCACGACGGCAUCUGUUCGAUCAGCGAGGCAGCCAAAACCCGAGCAGCAGGCGGCGCAGCGGGCACUCGCGCCGUGUUUGAAGAAACGCCGAACCGGGAUGCCGUCUCCUACGCCGCCAAGGUCGCCCUCCACUUCCAGCACCGCAGCCUGCCCCGCGGGGAGGUGCUCUUCCGUGCGGCGCCCGCGGCUGCUCGGGGGGCUCUAUCUGGGUACCAUCAUGCUCGAGGGGUACGUCAACGCUGGGCGUAUCGACCGCGCGCGCGAGCUGUUCGACGGAACGCCGAUGGAGAACGUCGUCUCCUGGAUUUUCAUGGUCUCUGCCUCUCUGGUACUGCCGGGAUGGCGAUGAUGCAGGGUUACCGCAAGCAAUGGGAUGCUCAGGGAAGCCAGAGAGAUGUUUUAACGAAUGCAAUGGUUGAGAGUAAUGUGGUCGCUUGGAAUGUAGGCAGUAUCCACUAAGUAGGCCCCUGGUGAAUGCUAGAACCUCUGCGCUGAAUCAAAACAAUCAUGGUCAUGGCCAACAAAUAAAAGAUCAAAAUCCCAUAAAAAAAAGAUCAAAUAGUGCAGACAUUUUGAGAUGCUGGCAGUCAGGUUGACUAUGUUGAGAUUGUGGAGCAAGAAAGCCUGACGCCUGAUGGUUUGGAAAGGUGAGGUUGAUUGACAAUAUCGAGAUCCAGGCACAAUCUUGAGAUUCAAAAAUCAGAUGAGCCUCCAAGAUGUGAUGUGUUCAUGGAGGGCGGCUUCUUGUUCUGUACCGAUACCGAUGCUGUUACAGUUUCAAUUCAGUCCCUGACUUUUGGCGGACUAUGGUGAUGCUGCUGCAUGUACACCGUGCAACCACGUUUAAGAGCUAGCAGCCAAUACGACUUGAUCAUGUUUGGACAGUUGUCUGCCUA